rnacentral:rRNA from 1 species
UGAACGCUGGCGGCGUGCCUAAUACAUGCAAGUCGAGCGAACAGAUAAGGAGCUUGCUCCUUUGACGUUAGCGGCGGACGGGUGAGUAACACGUGGGUAACCUACCUAUAAGACUGGGAUAACUUCGGGAAACCGGAGCUAAUACCGGAUAACAUUUGGAACCGCAUGGUUUUAAAGUGAAAGAUGGUUUUGCUAUCACUUAUAGAUGGACCCGCGCCGUAUUAGCUAGUUGGUAAGGUAACGGCUUACCAAGGCAACGAUACGUAGCCGACCUGAGAGGGUGAUCGGCCACACUGGAACUGAGACACGGUCCAGACUCCUACGGGAGGCAGCAGUAGGGAAUCUUCCGCAAUGGGCGAAAGCCUGACGGAGCAACGCCGCGUGAGUGAUGAAGGGUUUCGGCUCGUAAAACUCUGUUAUUAGGGAAGAACAAACGUGUAAGUAACUAUGCACGUCUUGACGGUACCUAAUCAGAAAGCCACGGCUAACUACGUGCCAGCAGCCGCGGUAAUACGUAGGUGGCAAGCGUUAUCCGGAAUUAUUGGGCGUAAAGCGCGCGUAGGCGGUUUCUUAAGUCUGAUGUGAAAGCCCACGGCUCAACCGUGGAGGGUCAUUGGAAACUGGGAAACUUGAGUGCAGAAGAGGAAAGUGGAAUUCCAUGUGUAGCCGUGAAAUGCGCAGAGAUAUGGAGGAACACCAGUGGCGAAGGCGACUUUCUGGUCUGUAACUGACGCUGAUGUGCGAAAGCGUGGGGAUCAAACAGGAUUAGAUACCCUGGUAGUCCACGCCGUAGACGAUGAGUGCUAAGUGUUAGGGGGUUUCCGCCCCUUAGUGCUGCAGCUAACGCAUUAAGCACUCCGCCUGGGGAGUACGACCGCAGGUUGAAACUCAAAUGAAUUGACGG